rnacentral:rRNA from 1 species
GUAGGUUACGUCAAGACUCAGGAGUAUUAAUCCUAAGCUUUUCUUCUCUACUGAAAGUGCUUUACAACCCGCAGGCCUUCUUCACACACGCGGUAUUGCUGGAUCAGGCUUGCGCCCAUUGUCCAAUAUUCCC